AUUGAACGCUGGCGGCAUGCUUUACACAUGCAAGUCGAACGGUAACAGGCCGCAAGGUGCUGACGAGCGGCGAACGGGUGAGUAAUGCAUCGGAACGUGCCCAGUCGUGGGGGAUAACGCAGCGAAAGCUGCGCUAAUACCGCAUACGAUCUAUGGAUGAAAGCGGGGGACCGAAAGGCCUCGCGCGAUUGGAGCGGCCGAUGUCAGAUUAGGUAGUUGGUGGGGUAAAGGCUCACCAAGCCAACGAUCUGUAGCUGGUCUGAGAGGACGACCAGCCACACUGGGACUGAGACACGGCCCAGACUCCUACGGGAGGCAGCAGUGGGGAAUUUUGGACAAUGGGCGCAAGCCUGAUCCAGCAAUGCCGCGUGCAGGAAGAAGGCCUUCGGGUUGUAAACUGCUUUUGUACGGAACGAAAAGGCUCUGGUUAAUACCUGGGGCUCAUGACGGUACCGUAAGAAUAAGCACCGGCUAACUACGUGCCAGCAGCCGCCGUAAGAC
rnacentral:rRNA from 1 species